AUUGAACGCUGGCGGCAUGCCUUACACAUGCAAGUCGAACGGCAGCACGGGUGCUUGCACCUGGUGGCGAGUGGCGAACGGGUGAGUAAUACAUCGGAACAUGUCCUGUAGUGGGGGAUAGCCCGGCGAAAGCCGGAUUAAUACCGCAUACGAUCUACGGCUGAAAGCGGGGGACCUUCGGGCCUCGCGCUAUAGGGUUGGCCGAUAGCUGAUUGGCUAGUUGGGGGGGUAAAGGCCUACCAAGGCGACGCGCAGUAGCUGGUCUGAGGGGACGACCAGCCACACGGGGACUGAGACACGGCCCAGACUCCUACGGGAGGCAGCGGUGGGGAAGUUUGGACAAUGGGCGAAAGCCUGAUCCAGCAAUGCCGCGUGUGUGAAGAAGGCCUUCGGGUUGGAAAGCACUUUUGUCCGGAAAGAAAUCCUUGGCUCUAAUACAGGCGGGGGAUGACGGUACCGGAAGAAUAAGCACCGGCUAACUACGUG
rnacentral:rRNA from 1 species